rnacentral:miRNA from 1 species
GAAAAAGUCAUGGAGGCC